rnacentral:lncRNA from 1 species
GAAUUUUAUCUGCUAUCAUUUUCAAGUUUACUAUCCACGGCGGUCACAGAGUUUAUUAAAUAGAGAGGGUCUGUAUACUAUGUCAAUGAUCACCAUGGAUCGAUUAGUAAACUUAGAAUUGAAAGUAAAUACGCUUUAUUUAUAUAGUAAUGAAUGUUCAUAAUAUACAGAUAAGCGCUAAAAUUAUUCAUGUGAACUUUUGAUACUUUUUUCUGAAAUUCUCCAGUCAUUAAAUCUUUUACAAAAUUCAUUGAUUACAUAAAAAAAAAAGAAGAUGUGGUAUGAUUGCCAUGUUAAGACAACUCUCCACAAGAGACCAAAAUGACACAGAUAUUAACAACUAUAGGUCACCUUACGGCCUUCAACAAAGAGAAAAGCCCAUACCGCAUACUCAGCUUCAAAAGGCCCGAAAUGACAUUGUGAAACAAUGCAAACGAGAAAACUAGCGGCCUUAUUUAUGUACAAAAAAUGAACGAAAAACAAAUAUGUAACACAUAAACAAACGACAACCACUGAAUUACAGGCUCCUUACUUAAAUAAAUGUUCAUAACAUACUAAAUGUAUGUUCAUAUUGAAAUUGAUAGAAAACCAAAAAUUGGGAACUUUGGAAAUAAAGGUGGAGGGUAACAAAAACAUUUUCCUGUCCCCAAUAACCUAUGACUUAUGAUACUUUUGCUGAAAUUCUCCAGUCAUUCUGCAUUUUACAAAAUUCUUCCAACAACACUUUACAUACUUUAAACUACGCUCUGAAUGCCCGCGAUUUCGCGGGUGUGUUCUAGUAUUACUAUAUUUCAAAGUAUAUAUCAUAGAUGUUAUACACUAUAGAUGACUUGGGGAAAUAAAUCACAAUCCAUGGAUGAAGUAAUUGAACAGUCGGUAUUUCUCUAAAUUGAACCUGUAUAUGGAGUCUAUAAAAUAUAUAAGUUUCUCACAGA